GGAGAGAUGGCAGAGCGGUUUAAUGCACCGGUCUUGAAAACCGGCAUACCCGCAAGGGUAUCCAGGGUUCGAAUCCCUGUCUCUCCGC
rnacentral:tRNA from 1 species